AUUAACGCUGGCGGCAUGCCUAAGACAUGCAAGUCGAACGGAGCGCCCCAUUGAAACUGGAAUGAAGUUGAAGAGCUUGCUCAGAUAUGGAAUGAAAGUCGAUUUGGAUUCUGCGCUCAGUGGCGCACGGGUGAGUAACACGUGGGUUAUCUGCCUUUAAGCUGGGGAUAACAGUUAGAAAUGACUGCUAAUACCGAAUGUGCUAGUAAUAGUAAAGAAGCCCUUAAAGCUUCACUUAAAGAUGAGCCUGCGGCGUAUUAGCUUGUUGGUGGGGCAAUGGCCUACCAAGGCAACGAUGCGUAGCCGGACUGAGAGGUUGAACGGCCACACUGGGACUGAGACACGGCCCAGACUCCUACGGGAGACAGCAGUUAGGAAUAUUCGGCAAUGGGCGAAAGCCUGACCGAGCAAUGCCGCGUGUGAGAUGAAGGUCCUUUGGAUUGUAAAUCACUUUUAUUUGGGAAGAACAGUAAGUAUAGGAAAUGAUGCUUACUUGACGGUACCUUUUGAAUAAGCCCCGGCUAACUACGUGCCAGCAGCCGCGGUAAUACGUAGGGGGCGAGCGUUAUCCGGAUUUAUUGGGCGUAAAGCGUGUGUAGGCGGUUUGUUAAGUCUGAGAUGAAAGGCUAUGGCUCAACCAUAGUUUGUUUCAGAAACUGGCAGACUAGAGUGCAGUAGAGGCAAAUGGAAUUCAUAGUGUAGCGGUGGAAUGCGUAGAUAUUAUGAGGAACAUCAGUGGCGAAGGCGAUUUGCUGGGCUGUUACUGACGCUGAGACACGAAAGCGUGGGGAGCAAAUAGGAUUAGAUACCCUAGUAGUCCACGCUGUAAACGAUGAGCACUAAGUGUCGGGCAACCGGUGCUGAAGUUAACACAUUAAGUGCUCCGCCUGAGUAGUACGGUCGCAAGACUGAAACUCAAAGGAAUUGACGGGGACCCGCACAAGCGGUGGAGCAUGCCGUUUAAUUCGAAAAUACGCGAAGAACCUUACCAAGACUUGACAUCCCUGGCAAAGCUAUAGAAAUAUAGUGGAGGUUAUCCAGGUGACAGGUGGUGCAUGGUUGUCGUCAGCUCGUGUCGUGAGAUGUUGGGUUAAGUCCCGCAACGAGCGCAACCCUUACUGUCAGUUACUACGCAAGAGGACUCUGGCAGGACUGCCGUUGACAAAACGGAGGAAGGUGGGGAUGACGUCAAAUCAUCAUGCCCUUUAUGUCUUGGGCUACACACGUACUACAAUGGAUGUUACAAAGGGAAGCGAAGUAGUGAUAUGGAGCGAAACCCAAAAAGCAUCCCCAGUUCGGAUUGUAGGCUGAAAUUCGCCUACAUGAAGCCGGAAUUGCUAGUAAUGGCAGGUCAGCAUACUGCCGUGAAUACGUUCCCGGGCCUUGUACACACCGCCCGUCACACCAUGAGAGUUGGGAAUACCCGAAGCCUGUGAGCUAACUUUUAGAGGCAGCAGUCGAAGGUAGAAUCAAUGAUUGGGGUG
rnacentral:rRNA from 1 species